rnacentral:rRNA from 1 species
GACGAACGCUGGCGCCGUGCUUAACACAUGCAAGUCGAACGGAAAGGCCUUUUCGGAGGUACUCGAGUGGCGAACGGGUGAGUAACACGUGGGUGAUCUGCCCUGCACUCUGGGAUAAGCCUGGGAAACUGGGUCUAAUACCGGAUAGGACCGCACUUUAGUGUGUGUGGUGGAAAGUUUUUUCGGUGUAGGAUGAGCCCGCGGCCUAUCAGCUUGUUGGUGGGGUAAUGGCCUACCAAGGCGGCGACGGGUAGCCGGACUGAGAGGUUGGUCGGCCACAUUGGGACUGAGAUACGGCCCAGACUCCUACGGGAGGCAGCAGUGGGGAAUAUUGCACAAUGGGCGCAAGCCUGAUGCAGCGACGCCGCGUGGGGGAUGACGGCCUUCGGGUUGUAAACUCCUUUCGCCAGGGACGAAGCGUUUUGUGACGGUACCUGGAGAAGAAGCACCGGCUAACUACGUG